GUUAUUAUCUGUGAUACUGGUGUAUACAAAUUAUCCAGUAAUAAGAAGUUAUUUGUAAUAAGAUAAUAUGAAAAGUGAGUCUCUUGUUCGUGAGUAAGAGGUUGCUUCACAAAAUACAGGCAUUAUCUCUCGAUCUGGGACUGUUAUACUCUGAAGAUGGCUUCGGAAACAUGAAGCUCUGGAAACUUCGUCUAUAUUGAGAGUUCUGCCAUGAAGAAAUUGCAAGGUAAAUGUGUGCUGAGAAAAAGUGAAACUGAGAACACUGACAGCAGUACCUCAGCCAAACUCUGGGCCUUGAAAAUGAGAGGACAGAGUUCACAAUGAAGUGUACAUUUAAAGAGAAUUCAGCUGGACAGUGAGCCAUAAAAAUUUUGAAAAGUCAACAAGA